rnacentral:lncRNA from 1 species
CUUUCUGAAUUCAGCAGUUCCCUCUUGUACAGAGGAGAUGCUGUGACAAUGGAGUUGAGCUGCACUGAAGUACCUCUUUAUGUAAGUUCUACAACAUUAAGCUUCUGCCCUGAGAGUCGCUUUCUUUUGGAUAACAGCUCAUUCAAAAGCAGAAUGAAUGAAACCAAAAACCAUUCUCUGGUUGUCUGAGACCUUAGACUGUUGAAUGUGGCUGUGUAAUGCAGGCAUGUGUGGGGAUGAUGUUUUCAGUACUGUGAUUCACUUCUCUGAAGGCUUUCUGGCUCUCCUUCUCUCUUCUUCAUGUAGGGAGCAUGCCCGUAGUCUCUCACUGUGGUGGUCGAGCUGUCCCUCAACAGAGCCUUCGUGCAGAAGAAGGCAAAUGCACUGCUUGGAGGCGGGAGCUGUUUCCCAAGGUUGUCAGAGCAGAUCUUCGCUGUUCCAUAUCUGAGACAUGGAGGCGGUUUCCAGCCUGGGGCUCGGGACACGGUGCCCUGGGGACCCUGCU